AGUAUCGCGGACGGAAGAUGGCGUCCGCCACCCGUCUCAUCCAGCGGCUGCGGAACUGGGCGUCCGGGCAUGACCUGCAGGGGAAGCUGCAGCUACGCUACCAGGAGAUCUCCAAGCGAACUCAGCCUCCUCCCAAGCUCCCUGUGGGUCCUAGCCACAAGCUCUCCAACAAUUACUAUUGCACUCGCGAUGGCCGCCGGGAAUCUGUGCCCCCUUCCAUCAUCAUGUCGUCGCAGAAGGCGCUGGUGUCAGGCAAGCCAGCAGAGAGCUCUGCUGUAGCUGCCACUGAGAAGAAGGCGGUGACUCCAGCUCCUCCCAUAAAGAGGUGGGAGCUGUCCUCGGACCAGCCUUACCUGUGACACUGCACCCUCACGGCCACCCGACUACUUUGCCUCCUUGGAUUUCCUCCAGGGAGAAUGUGACCUAAUUUAUGACAAAUACGUAGAGCUCAGCAACCCGACUCCGAGAAUGGACGUUUCAUUUAUUCAUUUACUCACCAAAUGUUUACUAAGAGCCUACUAUGAGUCAAGCACUAUGUGUCAGAUCCUGAGAAUAAAGCAGUGAGCAACAGAAGAUCCCUGCCCUCCAGUAGCUAGCAUUCUAUGGGGACUCGGACAACAAACCAGAAUAAGUAAAUAAAAUAAAUUACCUGUCGGCGCCACAAAAGCAGUGGGAUGAGGGAGGAAAUGCGGAGUGCCUGAGGGGCGUGGCUGCCAUAUUAAAGAAGAUCACGAGGCAGUAA